UGAUAUGAUGUACAUCACCCUUGUAACCAUGGAUCCUUCUCAAAGUUCCUAUUUAGAGAGAAACAAAAGCUUGAAGAUCAUGGUGCUUGAUUUGAAAUGGCACGAUUUGCAAAAUUGAGACCACCACUGGCCUACCUCAUGCUUGAGGACUUCAGAAAACAACAAAAACCAAAGUAAUUCACAUCAUAUUGCAAGAUCUAGAUCAAGAAAAAUUGAGGUUCUACCUCUAAAAUGCAGCUUCAAAC
rnacentral:lncRNA from 1 species